rnacentral:rRNA from 1 species
CAGUCGCCGCGGGAAUACGGAGGGUGCAAGCGUUAAUCGGAAUUACUGGGCGUAAAGCGCACGCAGGCGGUCUGUCAAGUCAGAUGUGAAAUCCCCGGGCUUAACCUGGGAACUGCAUUUGAAACUGGCAGGCUAGAGUACGGUAGAGGGGGAUGGAAUUCCGCGUGUAGCAGUGAAAUGCGUAGAUAUGCGGAGGAACACCGAUGGCGAAGGCAAUCCCCUGGACCUGUACUGACGCUCAUGCACGAAAGCGUGGGGAGCAAACAGGAUUAGAUACCCGGGUAGUCCCUGUCUCUUAUAC